AAACACACCUUCCACUCUGACUAUCCAUUUUCCAGAUAAUUCAAUAUUAGCUACAGAGAGGUGGCGAUGCAUAUAUUACUCAGACGUCUACGUUAUGGGGGUAGUGGUCAAAACGGUGACUUGUUAAUGUCUCAUUAUGAAUUUGAAAGUAUGAGGAAAACGCCCGAGAGCGUAUUUAAGAGGCGUCAACAUCAGUGAGGACAAACUGUUCCUCUGCAAACACAGACGUCUGCAACAACAGAUACUGGCUGGCAGGUGGUGGUGACAGUUGCUCUGUGGGCAAGAAGCUGCAUCUUUCUGCGACAAUGGGGGAGAGAGAGACUUGCUUAUUUUCACCUGUUGCUCCUGCUGAGACCUGGAUUAAACACUGCCUGUCCACUCACUACAGGCCUAAACACUCACUGGAGGAAGGUUCCCAAAGUGACCACUGGGCAUCUCACCCAUUUUGCACCAGAAAAAGACUUGUGGUGGCCCUUCUGGUCAUGUUGGCCUUGGCUGUCAUGAUGCUGAUACUACUGCUGAAUUAUUAUUGUAUUAUGGUCUGGCACCUGUGUGAACAUGAAGAGUCUUUUCCCCCAAUAUUUCAAAACUCUACGCCAGAGAUGGACUGGCAGGACUGAGACAUGUUUGAUUGCUCUUGUUUUAAUAUUUGGUGCAUCCAUCUAGGAUGCAUUUAUGUGUUAUACUGCUGUGUUUUUUGUUUGAUGAACUGAAAUAACACUGAACAUUUCCCGUGUGAGAUUGUUUUCAUGUGUGAUUUUAGAAGGAAACUAUUCACACUGUCAGGUUACUCAGUUCCUAGUUUUGUAUUUAUUUAAAUGAUUUCCUAGGUUUGCCAUUACUUUUUAAAUUAUGCCUAUUUUAAUUUGCAGAGUCACUGUAUUUGUCCAUGUAUUUACAUCUGUUAAACUUUAUCUUAUGAAGUUUGAAAUGUAGUUAAAUACUGUUUAUAUAAAUGGUUUUUGUUUGGUGGA